UACGAAGGGGGCUAGCGUUGUUCGGAAUUACUGGGCGUAAAGGGCGCGUAGGCGGCGUGUCAAGUCAGGCGUGAAAGCCCCGGGCUUAACCUGGGAACCGCGCUUGAGACUGGCAUGCUCGAGUUCGGGAGAGGAUGGUGGAAUUCCCAGUGUAGAGGUGAAAUUCGUAGAUAUUGGGAAGAACACCGAUGGCGAAGGCAGCCAUCUGGACCGACACCGACGCUGAGGCGCGAAAGCGUGGGGAGCAAACAGG
rnacentral:rRNA from 1 species